rnacentral:rRNA from 1 species
CCUACGGGUGGCUGCAGUGGGGAAUAUUGCACAAUGGGGGAAACCCUGAUGCAGCGACGCCGCGUGAGUGAAGAAGUCUCUCGGUAUGUAAAGCUCUAUCAGCAGGGAAGAAACCCACCCUCCGGGGUGCCUGACGGUACCUGACUAAGAAGCCCCGGCUAACUACGUGCCAGCAGCCGCGGUAAUACGUAGGGGGCAAGCGUUAUCCGGAUUUACUGGGUGUAAAGGGAGCGUAGGUGGCAAGGCUAGUCAGAUGUGAAAACCCGGGGCCCAACCCCGGGAGUGCAUUUGAAACUGGCUGGCUAGAGUGGAAGAGAGGUAAGUGGAAUGCGUGGUGUAGCGGUGAAAUGCAUAGAUAUCAGGAGGAACACCAGUGGCGAAGGCAGCAUACUGGACUGUGACUGACGCUGAGGCUCGAAAGCGUGGGGAGCGAACAGGAUUAGAUACCCCUGUAGUC